UACGAAGGGGCUAGCGUUGCUCGGAUUUACUGGGCGUAAAGGGCGCGUAGGCGGACAUUUAAGUCAGGGGUGAAAUCCCGGGGCUCAACCUCGGAACCUGCCUUUGAUACUGGGUGUCUUGAGUGUGAGAGAGGUAUGUGGAACUCCGAGUGUAGAGGUGAAAUUCGUAGAUAUUCGGAAGAACACCAGUGGCGAAGGCGACAUACUGGCUCAUUACUGACGCUGAGGCGCGAAAGCGUGGGGAGCAAACAGG
rnacentral:rRNA from 1 species